rnacentral:rRNA from 1 species
AGAGUUUGAUCCUGGCUCAGAACGAACGCUGGCGGCGCGCCUAAUACAUGCAAGUCGAGCGAGAAGACGUAGCAAUACGUUUGUAAAGCGGCGAACGGGUGAGGAAUACAUGGGUAACCUACCCUUGAGUGGGGAAUAACUAGCCGAAAGGUUAGCUAAUACCGCGUACGCUCCUUGGACUUCGGUUCAGGGAGGAAAGCGAUACCGUGGGUAUCGCGCUCUUGGAUGGGCUCAUGUCCUAUCAGCUUGUUGGUGAGGUAACGGCUCACCAAGGCUUCGACGGGUAGCUGGUCUGAGAGGACGAUCAGCCACACUGGCACUGCGACACGGGCCAGACUCCUACGGGAGGCAGCAGUAAGGAAUAUUGCGCAAUGGGCGAAAGCCUGACGCAGCGACGCCGCGUGGGGGAUGAAGGUCUUCGGAUUGUAAACCCCUUUCGGGAGGGAAGAUGGAACGAGCAAUCGUUCGGACGGUACCUCCAGAAGCAGCCACGGCUAACUUCGUGCCAGCAGCCGCGGUAAUACGAAGGUGGCAAGCGUUGUUCGGAUUUACUGGGCGUACAGGGAGCGUAGGCGGUUCGGUAAGCCCUUUGUGAAAUCUCCAGGCUUAACCUGGAACAGUCGGAGGGGACUGCUGGGCUAGAGGACGGGAGAGGAGCGCGGAAUUCCCGGUGUAGCGGUGAAAUGCGUAGAGAUCGGGAGGAAGGCCGGUGGCGAAGGCGGCGCUCUGGAACGUUUCUGACGCUGAGGCUCGAAAGCGUGGGGAGCAAACAGGAUUAGAUACCCUGGUAGUCCACGCCUUAAACUAUGAAUACUAAG